rnacentral:rRNA from 1 species
CGCCUAACACAUGCAAGUCGAACGAAGUAGCAAUACUUAGUGGCAGACGGGUGAGUAACAUGUGGGUAUCUACCCUUUGGCCUGGAAUAACACGAGGAAACUUGUGCUAAUACCGGAUAAGUCUUUACAGAGAAAGCUUUAUGCACCAUUGGAUGAGCCCGCACUUGAUUAGUUUGUUGGUAGGGUAAUGGCCUACCAAGACUGUGAUCAAUAGCUGAUUUGAGAGGAUGAUCAGCCACAUUGGGACUGAGACACGGCCCAAACUCCUACGGGAGGCAGCAGUGGGGAAUCUUGCACAAUGGAGGAAACUCUGAUGCAGCGAUGCCGCGUGAGUGAAGAAGGCCUUUGGGUUGUAAAGCUCUUUCGUCGGGGAAGAAAAUGACUGUACCCGAAUAAGAAGGUCCGGCUAACUUCGUGCCAGCAGCCGCGGUAAUACGAAGGGACCUAGCGUAGUUCGGAAUUACUGGGCUUAAAGAGUUCGUAGGUGGUUGAAAAAGUUGGUGGUGAAAUCCCAGAGCUUAACUCUGGAACUGCCAUCAAAACUUUUCAGCUAGAGUUUGAUAGAGGAAAGCAGAAUUUCUAGUGUAGAGGUGAAAUUCGUAGAUAUUAGAAAGAAUACCAAUUGCGAAGGCAGCUUUCUGGAUCAUUACUGACACUGAGGAACGAAAGCAUGGGUAGCGAAGAGGAUUAGAUACCCUCGUAGUCCAUGCCGUAAACGAUGUGUGUUAGACGUUGGAAAUUUAUUUUCAGUGUCGCAGCGAAAGCGAUAAACACACCGCCUGGGGAGUACGAC